CUGUGCGCACGAGCUCUUUUUAAAUUGAGGGGUUAUUAAGAAUAUGGUUUUCGUGGGCAUUUAGAAAUGGUGGGUUAUUUCCAUGCUGGGAAAGGCCAGGAAACAAAUUGUAGGGUUUCAUUUUGGUUGAGAAGAAAAUCUGAAAGCGUAGAUCAGCCUCUCUGCUACCAACAUCACCAUGAAAUGCCCACUCCCAAUCUCGAAACAGGAUUUUGCAUUGAGGAAAGCUUCAAGGCUAGAAGUUGCCUCCUGAUUUGAAUACCGGGCAUCCGAAGAAUACUAAUUAGUUAAGACAGAAGUCUGAAGCAAUUUCUUUUCGGAAGUUGCAACAGCAUGAUAGAUAUACUGGCAUAUUUGAAACUUGUCAUGAUUUUUCGUAAUUGCUGUCCUGCUCCUUACAUGAGUCUGUCUCAAGACAACUUAAUUGAUAAAUCUUGAAGCUUUACCCAUUUCAAAGAUCAUACUGUUUGGCAAAUCUUUUAUUUUAUGUCAUGAAUAUUCAAGAAAGUAUCAUUCAACAUUCUUUUCUUUAGAAAUUGCAGGAGAUACUUUUAGUACAAGACCAGUUGUGUGCUUUCUUCUAUGAUGUGAAACAGGAUAUGUAGGAUUGAAUAUUUACAAGGCAAGAAUAAUUCAGACAAAAUAUUUUAUGUUCCCUAUAAACUGUAUACAAGAAGGAUUUGUAGGUCAAAUUCAGUGGCAAUUUAAAAGUUUGUUUAAGGUGAAGCUCAACAUUAUUAAUGAUUAACGGAAUAGUAAUACAUAUACAGGAUUUUGUAUUGAGGAAAGCUUGAAGGCUAGAAUCUCUUUGGCCAAGUCAUUUGCCUCUUGAUUUGAAUACCGGGCAUUCGAAGAAUACUAAAUAGUUAAGACAGAAGCCUGAGGCAAUUUUUUUUUCAGAAGUUGCAACAGCAUGAUAGAUAUACGCAAUAUAUUACAGGCACUUCCAGAAAUGUCUGGAACAACAUUCAGAAUAAAAUUUAGAACACGGUUGCUAGACAUCUAUUACUACUUUUCAUGGAAUUGAAGAAACACAGUUAACAUAAGAAGCAAACUUUAACCAGAUCUUAAAUAUUCUAAUGCAAAUAUUCACUUCAAUCUCUAAUAUAAUUCAUCUCACAAUCACCAUUAGAUUUGCAAAGGUUCCACCUUUGAUAGCUGACUUCGGUGAGUUUAGCUUUUGACAAUAGAUGCAAUGUUCUGAUUAAUAUGAAAAACAGGUUUUAAGGACCCGAAACCUUUAACAAAGGAACAUAAGAUAGUUCAUCAUAAAGCAACAAGACCAGCAAAAACAGCAUGCAAAAGACUGGCAAGAAGGCCAGUGUGCCGAACGGACAGCAAAAGAAAGGAACAACUUAUCGAAAUGACCAAAAAAUGAACAAAACAACAAACAACUACAAGGACUUAAUUAGAUCAGCCGCCUUAGAAACCAGCAGGUCAUAGUUUGCCGACGCAGCUUUGAGUUCUUCAAUUUCCUUAUUUGUCUUUGUCUCCUUCUUGCCUCUAGUCCUUGUUUUGGGUCCAUGCACCUCUCCCAUGCCAUCUUUGUCAGGUUCCAGCUCCAAGGAAUCCUUAUCGUUCUCGAGCUUGCUGAUAAUUAUUUUGGUGUUGGCUGCCGAGGCCUUCAAGAUGUUAAGGCUUUGAUCAGCUAUGCUUCUGAGGCAGUUUUCAAUUUUGUUGAAUUUGCUGUCAGUUUCCACCAUUCUCUAGUCAGUUGCAUUGUCGUUGCUUUUUAUCUCUUCCAAGGCCUUCUCCACAUACUCGAACCUAGGGUUGAAGGCAUCUCUGAUCUCUUCGGCUCUAGCAACAGUUUUACUCAAGUCCUCCACAUAUUCUGCCAUAGAUUUGCCUUCUCCAAUACUGAUCGUUUCCAGAAUUUGAACCCUGUGGCUCAACUUCUUAUUAUCCUCCACAGCUUUCUUGUGACUGUUAAUUAACUAAUCAAUGGUAUCCACAAACAACAGUGAGACUUGGGGUCCUUGUUCAGGGAGGGGGCCUGGGUCGUGUACUAGGUAAGUCGUCGCGGGCUCACGAGAGAGUCAGUAGUGCGCCAGGUUGAGUUCCGAAGGAGACAAGGUCUUUGUGGAUUUAGAGUCUACAUGAGAAGCUACAGCCAGGGGCGAGGUGCAGUGGUAUCUGUACCGGUGUUUCAAGAGUGGACGCAGAUCCAGGGGCGAGGUGCAGUGGUAUCUGUACCGGUGUUUCAAGAGUGGAUGCAGAUCCAGGGGCGAGAACUUGUAAUCGGGUGCUUGGGAAGUACUCGGGGUAGUGACCAACGACAUAGUUGGAAUUGUUUGUAGACCGGGCUAGGGGCCAUUUCUUCAGAUCAAUAAAGCUAUCUUAUUGCCCCAACAUUGUGUUCAUUGUGUAAGGAUUCCACUGUGCAAGUUUGUACGUGUUGUGCAAGUGUGUGUGUGCAGGUUCUGGAGCUUGGGAUUGCUUACAGGCGUAGUCUGAGUUCUUGGAAGUGCUUGGAUCUCACAGACAAGUACCUAAAA